rnacentral:rRNA from 1 species
UACGUAGGGUGCAAGCGUUGUCCGGAAUUAUUGGGCGUAAAGAGCUCGUAGGCGGUUUGUCGCGUCUGCUGUGAAACCUAAGGCUCAACCUUGGGCUUGCAGUGGGUACGGGCAGACUAGAGUGCGGUAGGGUGACUGGAAUUCCUGGUGUAGCGGUGGAAUGCGCAGAUAUCAGGAGGAACACCGAGUGGCGAAGGCAGGUCACUGGGCCGCAACUGACGCUGGAGGAGCGGAAAGCAUCGGGAGCGAACAGGAUUAGACUACCCUG